UACAGAGGGUGCAAGCGUUAAUCGGAUUUACUGGGCGUAAAGCGUGCGUAGGCGGCUAAUUAAGUCGGAUGUGAAAUCCCCGAGCUCAACUUGGGAAUUGCAUUCGAUACUGGUUAGCUAGAGUAUGGGAGAGGAUGGUAGAAUUCCAGGUGUAGCGGUGAAAUGCGUAGAGAUCUGGAGGAAUACCGAUGGCGAAGGCAGCCAUCUGGCCUAAUACUGACGCUGAGGUACGAAAGCAUGGGGAGCAAACAGG
rnacentral:rRNA from 1 species